GCCUGUUUAUCAAAAACAUCGCCUCUUGAAAUUAAUAAGAGGUCUAGCCUGCCCAGUGACCACAGUUCAACGGCCGCGGUAUCCUAACCGUGCGAAGGUAGCGUAAUCACUUGUUCUUUAAAUGGGGACUAGUAUGAAUGGCAUCACGAGGGUUAUACUGUCUCCUUUUUCCAAUCAGUGAAACUAAUCUCCCCGUGAAGAAGCGGGGAUAAGACCAUAAGACGAGAAGACCCUAUGGAGCUUUAAAUUUCUCUUCAAACGCCGGCUAAUUUAGUAAGUCAUAGACCCCUUCCCCCUUAACCCUAGCGCCAUGAAGACGACUUUUAGGUUGGGGUGACCGCGGAGUACAAAAAAACCUCCACAUUGAACUAGGCUCCCAAGCCCUGAGCAAAGGGCCACAACCCCAUGCACUAAAAAACUAACAUCCAUUGACCCAAUACCUUUUGAUCAACGAACCAAGUUACCCUAGGGAUAACAGCGCAAUCCACUUCAAGAGUCCAUAUCGACAAGUGGGUUUACGACCUCGAUGUUGGAUCAGGGUAUCCCAGUGGUGCAGCCGCUACUAAUGGUUCGUUUGUUCAACGAUUAAAACCCU
rnacentral:rRNA from 1 species